rnacentral:tRNA from 1 species
UCCUCGUUAGUAUAGUGGUCAGUAUCCCCGCCUGUCACGCGGGAGACCGGGGGUCAAUUCCCCGACGGGGAGA